UUUACCUACGGGAGGCAGCAGUGAGGAAUAUUGGUCAAUGGGCGGAAGCCUGAACCAGCCAAGUCGCGUGAGGGAAUAAGGCCCUACGGGUCGUAAACCUCUUUUGCCGGGGAGCAAGGGCGGGGACGUGUCCCGGCCCGGAGAGUACCCGGAGAAAAAGCAUCGGCUAACUCCGUGCCAGCAGCCGCGGUAAUACGGAGGAUGCGAGCGUUAUCCGGAUUUAUUGGGUUUAAAGGGAGCGUAGACGGCAGUGCAAGUCUGAAGUGAAAGCCCCGGGCUUAACCCGGGAACUGCUUUGGAAACUG
rnacentral:rRNA from 1 species